UCACAGAGCAGCAAACAGCUGCAGGCAGCUGACUUAAAGCAACUGCAACAUCAACAUGUAGGCAGCUGAGGGAGCCAAGAAUAGGAGCUACAAAAGCUGCAGAGUUCAGAGCUCCAGGCAAUUAAUUAGGUAAUGGCUGCAGCAGAGCUGAGGGACCUGCUGAUGAUAUCAGAUGAGUAACCCCUGAACGUGGCUCCUAGGCUAAGGACAGCAUUGUGGCGUACAGUCUGAAGGGGAGAACAGUUUUCUGCGAGGAGGUUGCAGACUGGAAAAACUACAGACAGUAAGGUGUCAGGGGUUGAAGUGGCAACAGUGGGAGAUCAAGAAUGAAAAUGAUCCUAGAGAUGAAAACUGGACGUGGCUAACCAAUGCAACAUUAUGCAGACCAGUACAUAGACCACCCAACGUGAUUCUGGGAUAUAAUGCUGACGUAUGGAAUCUCACAAUACCAGGUUAUUCCCCGAAAUAUAAUAUUCCUUGGGAAGGACUAUGGAACCCCUCCAAAUUGUUAAAUCCUCGUAAUAUAAUUAAUGGGCCAUAUCCAUAUGGCACUAAAUUAACAGAAGCAGGGAUAAAUGAAACUGAGGACUAUCCAACACCAUGGGGUUUUGUGACAACACACCCAGAAACGGGUGUAUUUGGGGUAAAAUUGACUAUUAUCCCAUUAAGGUUAUUUGAAAAUGCUACAAUAGACGCCUAUGGUAUCAUCUAAUGUAAGUGGAAUAAACUUUUCUGGAAACUUAACACUGCCCAGAACAGUGGCUGGCUUACCACUAGCACUUGGUGCCGGACUAUAGUACACACCAGAAAUGGGAUAUGAUAUCCCUCAACUCUAGCCCUGUAAGCAUGAGGUUCAGUUCUGGAGAGAUACAGGGGAAAUAAUGGAAAUAAAAUAUAAUAUCCCGCAAGCCUCGCCCUUGUGAGACUGGAGCUCAGUUUUGGAGAGACACAUCUGCAAGGAGAUGUGUGUGCAUAAUAGUCCCAAAAAUUAAUGAUCUACACUCCAGUAUGGGGGUAGUACUUUGGUCAAAAACAGGUAUUACAUGGAUCACCGCAGAUCAUUGGAGCACGACUGAGGAGAAAAAGGUGCAUUCCCAACUAUCUGCGUGGGACAUUGACUUGCAGGAAUUAAAUUUGACUCGUAUAUUGUUUAACUUGGAAACUGGACAAUUAGUGAUGUUGUCAAAGGACUAUGGAGAGCACAUUACUUACCUGAAAUUACUCAAUGCCAGCAAGGUCCUCAAUACACCAUUUGCUUCGGUGUUAGAAGGACUAGCCAUGAUUGGAAAUGCAGUGGGGAAUGGUGUUAAAUCUACUAUACACGAAAUAGGAUCGAUAGGACAACAACUAUGGAACACCAUAAAGACUGUAUUUUUGGGAAAAUGGGUGAUAUAUGUUAUAAUAAGCAUCAUAGGAUUGUUUGGGUUAAUCAUUUUAGGAAAAUUAAUGUUGUGUAUGUUGUCAUGGAAUCACUGCAAUAAGUUUGCAAGGCUUAGUAACGAAAUACAAUUGUAAUCAAACUGCCUAAUGGGCAUGGGGGGGGGGGUGUCAUAUUGAAUGUAAUAUUUGAAUGCUUAUAAUAAAUGCCCAUUAGCCAGUUUAGAAAAAGACAAGAUUCAACUUCUUAUCUAGGCCAUUGUUUUGGCCUAUGUGCGGAAGAUCCGGGCUUUGCUCAAAGUCUUAACUCUUGAAUUUUAUCUUUGGAGGCCUUUAACAAGGUUAACCUAAAAACGACCCUUAAGCAAACAUCCCACAUUCCAAGAAAUCAAACCCUAGGAGCCUUUGAAAAGGGUUGGAAAGAAAGGUCACUGCAGUGGUAUGGAAAAUCCCCCAAAUAAAUUGAAUAGUUAGCAAACACAAACUGAUUACCAAGCAAAAGAAUCUGUAAAGUAAGAUCCGAGCCCAAAUUUGGGAGUAGUGACAGGUUUGGGUAGGAGUGACCCAAGACGGCAACUAGCUCAAUAAAAACUGUAACCUACUGUCCCAAUUUGGAGGUAACCUCACUUGCAGAACAACAAAGGAAGAAUCGCAAGUGUAGGCCGGAUCAGACUGAUCACCUGAACCACCCUCUCCGUGAACAUGAAUCUCUUAGUUCACACUGAAGCCGCGGAGCGCCCGAGUGGGACUGAAGGAAGGGGACUUGUUCCUAGUACUGCUGAGGCCAGCCCAUUGAACCGUAUUGCUGAGGCCAGCCCAUUGAACUGUACUACUGAGGCCAACCCAUUAAAAUGUACUACUGAGGAAUGAAACCAUAUUUAGGUGUUUGGCUUCUUGGAAUUCUGGAAUUGUAAGUAUAUUAUGAAAAAUAAUAGUAUUGAUUCAAAUUAUAUAGUUAGUUGUAAUUGUUUGAGAAGGAAAUGCAUUUGGGACAUUGUUUCUGAUAUAUGUAGUUAUUGUGUUCUUAAUGUUUGUGGUAUUUCUUAAAGCUAAGCAGUGUUAUAUGCGUAGCAAAGAAAUUUAAAAUAAAAUUGUGUUGUAUAAAUUAA